AGAAACAACAAGGGAUGGGGAGACAUGAAAAGCAUGGGAGCCAAGACUUAAGAAAAAUAGAUCUGGAAAGAGAAAAGGGACCUGACCCAGGAAUGCACGUUCACUUGCUGAAGAACCCUUGAUAAUUGAUGGCUGUUGGGAAGGAAGUGUCAGCUUCAAGGUUGUGGUUUCUGAGAAGCCAUCCAUGUCCUACGAGAUGAUCCUACACCCACACAUAUACAGCAGCAUUUUGUGGACUUGGGACUUUAUGGACUUGGAAAGGAAUAAUGGUGAAGUUUAUAAAGCAGGAAAUGGGGGUAAAUGUGAUCGAGUGUAUUUUAUACAUGUGUUGAAUUUUUAAGCAAUAAAGAUAAAUAAACUGUUAUGGAGCAUCACAUAGUAGGGCAAAA